rnacentral:rRNA from 1 species
UAGUCAUAUCAUGCCGAAACACCAUUUCCCGUACGAUCACCAAAGUUAACAACGUCGAUCCUGGUCAGUACCUAGAUGGGUAACCGCUUGGGAGUACCAGGU